CCUACGGGAGGCAGCAGUGAGGAAUAUUGGUCAAUGGCCGAGAGGCUGAACCAGCCAAGUCGCGUGAGGGAAGACGGUCCUACGGGUUGUAAACCUCUUUUGUCGGGGAGCAAAGCGAGUCACGUGUGACUCAUUGAGAGUACCCGAAGAAAAAGCAUCGGCUAACUCCGUGCCAGCAGCCGCGGUAAUACGGAGGAUGCGAGCGUUAUCCGGAUUUAUUGGGUUUAAAGGGUGCGCAGGCGGAGGUGCAAGUCAGCGGUCAAAUUGCGGGGCUCAACCCCGUACUGCCGUUGAAACUGCAGCCCUUGAGUGCGCGAGAGGUAUGCGGAAUGCGUGGUGUAGCGGUGAAAUGCAUAGAUAUCACGCAGAACUCCGAUUGCGAAGGCAGCAUACCGGCGCGCAACUGACGCUCAUGCACGAAAGCGUGGGUAUCGAACAGGAUUAGAUACCCUAGUAGUC
rnacentral:rRNA from 1 species